UACGUAGGGUGCGAGCGUUAAUCGGAAUUACUGGGCGUAAAGCGUGCGCAGGCGGCUUUGCAAGACAGAUGUGAAAUCCCCGGGCUCAACCUGGGAGCUGCAUUUGUGACUGCAAGGCUAGAGUACGGCAGAGGGGGAUGGAAUUCCGCGUGUAGCAGUGAAAUGCGUAGAUAUGCGGAGGAACACCGAUGGCGAAGGCAAUCCCCUGGGCCUGCACUGACGCUCAUGCACGAAAGCGUGGGUAGCAAACAGG
rnacentral:rRNA from 1 species